rnacentral:rRNA from 1 species
GUAGCUGGUCUGAGAGGAUGGCCAGCCACACUGGGACUGAGACACGGCCCAGACUCCUACGGGAGGCAGCAGUGGGGAAUAUUGGACAAUGGGGGCAACCCUGAUCCAGCAAUGCCGCGUGUGUGAAGAAGGCCUGAGGGUUGUAAAGCACUUUCAGUGGGGAGGAGAGGUUAUAGGUUAAGAGCUGAUGACUGAGACGUUACCCACAGAAGAAGCACCGGCUAACUCCGUGCCAGCAGCCGCGGUAAUACGGAGGGUGCGAGCGUUAAUCGGAAUUAYUGGGCGUAAAGGGUGCGUAGGUGGUUAGAUAAGUUAUCUGUGAAAUCCCUGGGCUUAACCUGGGCAGGUCAGAUAAAACUGUUGGACUAGAGUAUGG